rnacentral:rRNA from 1 species
UACGUAGGGGGCAAGCGUUGUCCGGAUUUAUUGGGCGUAAAGGGCGCGUAGGCGGUUUGUACAGUCAGACGUGAAAUUCCUGGGCUCAACCUGGGGGCUGCGUUUGAUACGUGCGGACUUGAGUUCGGAAGAGGGUCGUGGAAUUCCCAGUGUAGAGGUGAAAUUCGUAGAUAUUGGGAAGAACACCGGUGGCGAAGGCGGCGACCUGGUCCGAUACUGACGCUGAGGCGCGAAAGCGUGGGGAGCAAACAGG